UUCCUCUGGGGUUUUCGCACAAGUGAGGCAAGGGGUUAAUCGAGACCCAGCUCUUUGGAGCUCCUCAACGGAGAGUAGGAUCACAAGAUCCGAACUUCGGGAAAAAAUCGCUCUUGUCUCUUUCUGUGAUGUUUUUGUGGAUGUUUCUGUGAUCUAUCCCCUGCUUAGAAUACCUGUGCAUCAUCUUGUGAAGAUUGGCUUAGUCUCCUGUUUUGAAAUUUGAUUUUCAUCCUUGUUAUGUAACCCGGAAGUUCCUGUCCUAACAACACUGGAAGUUCCGGGCCUGGCAGGCCGGAAGUUCCGGAGUUCCUUACCAGGAAGUUCCGGGUCUGUUUGAAUUUUACCGCUGCGAUUUGUUUUUAAGUUUUCAGGGACAGUCUAUUCACCCCCCCCCCCCCUCUCUAGGCUUCAUCAGCACGUUCAGACAUCGCUGAUGAGGAUCCCCAGGUAGAUCAAAUGGCCAAUGGAGGAGCUCCAUUAGCUCGAGCAAUGUGGAUCCAGAAGGGAGCUGUCAAAGUUCUAUUUGAGUUUACGUCUGAUGGAUAUUAUCCUCACUGCCGCUGUUCCGUCGAGAGAGCAAUGGAGAUAUACAUGAACAACCUCAAGGAACUCAAGGUGGAUGAGCCAUGAUUUUGCUAUAUCUCUUGUGAUUUGCCCUUUGAAUACAGCAAGGUCAGUUCGAUGCUUAUACUUUCUAUCCUUUUUAUAAUAAAUCGACCGACAUAACGUCAAAGCUAUCAGUACAAUAGUAUCUGCAGUAUGACCCUUCCACUUGUAUAUUUCAAUCAAUACUAUACCCUUUCGUAACGUGUGCCUCGAUACAUAAAUCUACCUAUGUACCUAAACUUGCCAACAGUAUAGCCUUCUUGCCUUACUUGUAUAAUUAUGUGAUGAUUGUUCUCCUGUAAAAAUAUAUAUGUAUCUAUGUAGCAAGUUAUUGGUGGUACUAUGACGAGCCUUAUGAAUCUAGAUCAGACACUCUUCCUUC